AACGAACGCAGAUGGCAUGCCUAAUACAUGCAAGUCGAACGAGAAAGUACCUUCGGGUGCGAGUACAGUGGCGCACGGGUGAGUAACGCGUGGGUAAUCUGCCUAGUGGCGGGGGACAACCUUGGGAAACCGGGGCUAAUACCGCAUAAGCAAGAAAUUGGAAAGGUGGCCUCUACUUGUAAGCUAUCACCACUAGAGGAGCCCGCGUAGUAUUAGUUUGUUGGUGGGGUAAUGGCCUACCAAGACGAUGAUACUUAGCUGGUCUGAGAGGAUGAUCAGCCACACUGGAACUGAGACACGGUCCAG
rnacentral:rRNA from 1 species